CUCUCUUUUUCCUCCCUCGACGAGCCAACGAAUCCGAAUAGAACCAAAUCGGAAUCCUCUCGAUAACUUCGUCUCUCUCUCUCGCUGCCUCGCAAAGAAGUUGUUCAACUUUGGCGACGGUGGCGGUUGAUAAAGCUACCAACGAUCUUGUGUGUUAGCUCAUGAUUGGACUACCAACUUGGAAAUCUGUGAUUCUGUCCAUUGUCUUGAUUGUUGUUUCAUAGGUUCGAUUUAGGUUUUAGAUUGUUGUUUCAUCCGCUUGCUUUUGUUUGGAAUUGUUGAUUGUUGUUACUGGAUUAUGUUGGAUUGGUUGAUGUUCUUAUAAAAAGACUACAAGUACAUGCAAAAUUGGGAUUUGGUGUUGUUUAGUUCUUGAUUUGGAGUAGGAAGCUCUUACAUUUUUUUGGGUUAGUUUCUUUGUUGGUUGUGAUUUGUUUUGGGAACAGAGGUGAUUUUUUUGUUGGAGAUUGGAGCUCCUUUGUUGUUCAGCUUUAAGAUACAAAUGGCUGCUUUAUUAUGCCUUUGACUCUUUGGUUCGAUCUCUGAAGGAGUUAAUGCUUACUUAGAAUUAAUACUGCUUAGUGCUCAUACUCAUGUUCUUUGGCGGCAGUAACACCGGAGGAAGAGAUAUUCUACCUAGUGGCGAUCCUAACAUCGGCAGUUCUAGGCAAGGACGAUGGAGUUGAACACAUCUUGAAGCGGAACCAAAGAAUACUAGAAUUUUUAGUGAAGCAGCAGGUAUAGGGUUGAAGCAGUAUCUGCCACAUUACACAACAAGAGAGGUGUGGAGAUGGGUUCAACAUUCAGACUAGAUUCUAAUAACAGGUCGCUCUGAGAUGUCAUCUGGUCGCUCUGGCCCUCUCAGAAAUUCAGACUUUUGCACCCCGGAGAAUUCAUAUGAAUGGGAAAAUCCCAAAGAGUCAGAAUCACCACGUUAUCAAGCCUUACUUCGUAUGACAAGUGCUCCACGAAAGAGGUUUGUUGGUGACAUCAAAAGCUUUUCUCAUGAGUUGAACUCAAAAGAGG